AACCGGAUUAGAUACCCUGGUAGUCCACGCCGUAAAACGAUGUCGGACUUGGAAGGUUGUUCCCCUUGCUGAGUGGGUUUCCGGAGCUAACGCGUUUAAGUGACCGCCUGGGGAGUACGGCCGCAAGGGUUAAAACUCAAAUGAAUUGACGGGGAAGGAACAAGCGGUGGAGCAUGUGGUUUAAUUCGAUGCAACGCGAAGAACCUUACCUACUCUUGACAUCCACGGAAUUUGGCAGAGAUGCAUUAGUGCCUUCGGGAACCGUGAGACAGGUGCUGCAUGGCUGUCGUCAGCUCGUGUUGUGAAAUGUUGGGUUAAGUCCCGCAACGAGCGCAACCCUUAUCCUUUGUUGCCAGCGAUUCGGUCGGGAACUCAAAGGAGACUGCCGGUGAUAAACCGGAGGAAGGUGGGGAUGACGUCAAGUCAUCAUGGCCCUUACGAGUAGGGCUACACACGUGCUACAAUGGCGCAUACAAAGAGAAGCGACCUCGCGAGAGCAAGCGGACCUCACAAAGUGCGUCGUAGUCCGGAUCGGAGUCUGCAACUCGAGCU
rnacentral:rRNA from 1 species